rnacentral:rRNA from 1 species
UCUAAUACUGGAUAUUGACUUUUCCUCGCAUGGGGUUUGGUUGAAAGAUUUAUUGGUUUUGGAUGGACUCGCGGCCUAUCAGCUUGUUGGUGAGGUAAUGGCUCACCAAGGCGACGACGGGUAGCCGGCCUGAGAGGGUGACCGGCCACACUGGGACUGAGACACGGCCCAGACUCCUACGGGAGGCAGCAGUGGGGAAUAUUGCACAAUGGGCGAAAGCCUGAUGCAGCGACGCCGCGUGAGGGAUGACGGCCUUCGGGUUGUAAACCUCUUUCAGUAGGGAACAAGGCCAGCAUUUUUGUUGGUUGAGGGUACUUGCAGAAGAAGCGCCGGCUAACUACGUGCCAGCAGCCGCGGUAAUACGUAGGGCGCAAGCGUUAUCCGGAAUUAUUGGGCGUAAAGAGCUCGUAGGCGGUUUGUCGCGUCUGCCGUGAAAGUCCGGGGCUCAACCCCGGAUCUGCGGUGGGUACGGGCAGACUAGAGUGAUGUAGGGGAGACUGGAAUUCCUGGUGUAGCGGUGAAAUGCGCAGAUAUCAGGAGGAACACCGAUGGCGAAGGCAGGUCUCUGGGCAUUAACUGACGCUGAGGAGCGAAAGCAUGGGGAGCGAACAGGAUUAGAUACCCUGGUAGUCCAUGCCGUAAACGUUGGGCACUAGGUGUGGGGGACAUUCCACGUUUUCCGCGCCGUAGCUAACGCAUUAAGUGCCCCGCCUGG